CUACGGGAGGCAGCAGUGAGGAAUAUUGCACAAUGGGGGGAACCCUGAUGCAGCAACGCCGCGUGGAGGAUGACGCAUUUCGGUGUGUAAACUCCUUUUAUAUAGGAAGAAGAUGACGGUACUAUAUGAAUAAGCACCGGCUAACUCCGUGCCAGCAGCCGCGGUAAUACGGAGGGUGCAAGCGUUACUCGGAAUCACUGGGCGUAAAGGACGCGUAGGCGGGUUGGAAAGUCAGGUGUGAAAUCCUACAGCUUAACUGUAGAACUGCACUUGAAACUUCUAAUCUAGAGUAUGGGAGGGGGAGAUGGAAUUAGUGGUGUAGGGGUAAAAUCCGUAGAUAUCACUAGGAAUACCUAAAGCGAAGGCGAUCUCCUGGAACAUUACUGACGCUAAGGCGUGAAAGCGUGGGGAGCAAACAGGAUUAGAUACCCUCGUAGUC
rnacentral:rRNA from 1 species